GCCCAUCAUCUAAUCAGCCUCCUGUUUCGGAAGUGAUUGUCAAACGGCAUUUUCGGGCAUGGCCAUAUACAGACUUUGUAACUAAGGAAAAAAUGCUAAGGGUUUUUGUUGAUAAAAGAAUAACUUUAGCUGAAGUGAAAAAAGAAUUAGAACCUCAUUUAGGAGUUGGAGCUGAUUGUUUUAAGAUAUACAGGGUUUAUACAAACAAUCAGGAAUUUGAAUGUGUAAAACUGUUUGAAAAUUUAAUGUCAUAUGGGGAUGAUAGUAGGGUA